rnacentral:rRNA from 1 species
UACGUAGGUGGCAAGCGUUGUCCGGAUUUAUUGGGUUUAAAGGGUGCGUAGGCGGUUCCAUAAGUCAGUGGUGAAAUACGGCAGCUCAACUGUCGAGGUGCCAUUGAUACUGGGGAACUUGAGUACUGAUGAGGUAGGCGGAAUGGACGGUGUAGCGGUGAAAUGCUUAGAGAUCGUCCAGAACACCGAUAGCGAAGGCAGCUUACUAAGGAGUAACUGACGCUGAGGCACGAAAGUGUGGGGAUCAAACAGG